GCGCAGCAGUCGCGAAUUUUUCACAAUGGGGGAAACCCUGAUGGAGCGACGCCGCGUGGAGGAUGAAGGCCUUUUGGUCGUAAACUCCUGUCAAACGGGAACAAGAAAGUGAUAGUACCGUUAGAGGAAGAGGCGGCUAACUCUGUGCCAGCAGCCGCGGUAAUACAGAGGCCUCAAGCGUUGUUCGGAUUCAUUGGGCGUAAAGGGUGCGUAGGUGGCUUGUUAAGUUGAAGGUGAAAUCUCGGGGCUCAACUCCGAAACUGCCUUCAAUACUGGCGAGCUCGAGGAUUGUAGAGGAGAAUGGAAUUCACGGUGUAGCAGUGAAAUGCGUAGAUAUCGUGAGGAAGACCAGUGGCGAAGGCGAUUCUCUGGGCAAUUCCUGACACUGAGGCACGACGGCCAGGGGAGCAAACGGGAUUAGAUACUCCUGUAGU
rnacentral:rRNA from 1 species